UACACUCCUACGGGAGGCAGCAGUGGGGAAUUUUGGACAAUGGGCGAAAGCCUGAUCCAGCAAUGCCGCGUGUGUGAAGAAGGCCUUCGGGUUGUAAAGCACUUUUGUCCGGAAAGAAAUCCUUGGCUCUAAUACAGUCGGGGGAUGACGGUACCGGAAGAAUAAGCACCGGCUAACUACGUGCCAGCAGCCGCGGUAAUACGUAGGGUGCGAGCGUUAAUCGGAAUUACUGGGCGUAAAGCGUGCGCAGGCGGUUUGCUAAGACCGAUGUGAAAUCCCCGGGCUCAACCUGGGAACUGCAUUGGUGACUGACAGGCUAGAGUAUGGCAGAGGGGGGUAGAAUUCCACGUGUAGCAGUGAAAUGCGUAGAGAUGUGGAGGAAUACCGAUGGCGAAGGCAGCCCCCUGGGCCAAUACUGACGCUCAUGCACGAAAGCGUGGGGAGCAAACAGGAUUAGAUACCCGUGUAGUCCCAUGAU
rnacentral:rRNA from 1 species